rnacentral:rRNA from 1 species
AAAGGUUGACCUCAAAUCAGGUAGGACUACCCGCUGAACUUAAGCAUAUCAAUAAGCGGAGGAAAAGAAACCAACAGGGAUUGCCUCAGUAACGGCGAGUGAAGCGGCAAAAGCUCAAAUUUGAAAUCUGGUUGUGCCUGGCGCAGCCCGAGUUGUAAUUUGAAGAAGGCGACUCUGGAGGCGGCCCUUGCCUAUGUUCCUUGGAACAGGACGUCACAGAGGGUGAGAAUCCCGUGCGGCGAGGUGGCCCCGGCUCCGUGUAGAGCGCUUUCGAAGAGUCGAGUUGUUUGGGAAUGCAGCUCUAAGUGGGUGGUAAAUUCCAUCUAAAGCUAAAUAUUGGCGAGAGACCGAUAGCGAACAAGUACAGUGAUGGAAAGAUGAAAAGAACUUUGAAAAGAGAGUGAAAAAGUACGUGAAAUUGUUGAAAGGGAAGGGUAUUAGAUCAGACUUGGCGGUUGCUGGGGAUCCCCCCCUGCCCUUGUGGCGGGAGGGCUACUCCCUGCGCGCUGGGCCAGCAUCGAUUCGGACGGCGGGAGAAUGGCGUGGAGAAUGUGGCAGCGGCCCUUUGCGGGGCUGGUGUGCUUAUAGCUCCAGGCAGAUGCCGCCUGUGUGGAUCGAGGAGUGCGUCCUUAGGGACUAGGAUGCUGGCGUAAUGAUCUAACACCGCCCGUCUUGAAACACGGACC